AUGCAAGUCGAACGGCAGCGCGGGGGCAACCCUGGCGGCGAGUGGCGAACGGGUGAGUAAUACAUCGGAACGUGUCCUGGAGUGGGGGAUAGCCCGGCGAAAGCCGGAUUAAUACCGCAUACGAUCCUGGGAUGAAAGCGGGGGACCGAAAGGCCUCGCGCUCAAGGGGCGGCCGAUGGCAGAUUAGCUAGUUGGUGGGGUAAAGGCCUACCAAGGCGACGAUCUGUAGCUGGUCUGAGAGGACGACCAGCCACACUGGGACUGAGACACGGCCCAGACUCCUACGGGAGGCAGCAGUGGGGAAUUUUGGACAAUGGGGGCAACCCUGAUCCAGCAAUGCCGCGUGUGUGAAGAAGGCCUUCGGGUUGUAAAGCACUUUUGUCCGGAAAGAAAACUUCCGCCCUAAUACGGUGGGGGGAUGACGGUACCGGAAGAAUAAGCACCGGCUAACUACGUGCCAGCAGCCGCGGUAAUACGUAGGGUGCAAGCGUUAAUCGGAAUUACUGGGCGUAAAGCGUGCGCAGGCGGUUCGCUAAGACCGAUGUGAAAUCCCCGGGCUUAACCUGGGAACUGCAUUGGUGACUGGCGGGCUAGAGUAUGGCAGAGGGGGGUAGAAUUCCACGUGUAGCAGUGAAAUGCGUAGAGAUGUGGAGGAAUACCGAUGGCGAAG
rnacentral:rRNA from 1 species